rnacentral:rRNA from 1 species
UAGGGAAUCUUCCGCAAUGGACGCAAGUCUGACGGAGCAACGCCGCGUGAGUGAAGAAGGAUUUCGGUUCGUAAAACUCUGUUGUUAGAGAAGAACAGCGCAUAGAGUAACUGUUAUGCGUGUGACGGUAUCUAACCAGAAAGCCACGGCUAACUACGUGCCAGCAGCCGCGGUAAUACGUAGGUGGCAAGCGUUGUCCGGAUUUAUUGGGCGUAAAGCGAGCGCAGGCGGUCAAUUAAGUCUGAUGUGAAAGCCCCCGGCUCAACCGGGGAGGUUCGUUGGAAACUGGUUGCCUUGAGUGCAGAAGAGGAUAGUGGAAUUCCAUGUGUGGCGGUGAAAUGCGUAGAUAUAUGGAGGAACCCCAGUGGCGAAGGCGACUCUCUGGUCUGUAACUGACGCUGAGGUUCGAAAGCGUGGGUAGCAAACAGG